rnacentral:lncRNA from 11 species
CCUGGCUCCAGGAGCCAAUCAGAAGCCUCUGGGAAGAAGAGAGCAUGGCCAGGAAGGAGAGAAGGAAGAAACGGCAGCGCAGGCAGCAGCCACGGAAGGUUUUCAAGCCUCGGCUGGGGGACAGAGCACAGCUGGAUGUAGAUCGAUGUGGGAUGAGAGCUAGCAGACUCCAUGCUACAAGUGAAGUGUCAUACAACAGGCAGUUUUGCCCAUCUGAUGAGGCCCUGACACACAACUCCAAAAGGUUUACCAGAGUCAGUUGA